rnacentral:snRNA from 1 species
AUGGACCUGUUGAAGUCUC